GGAUAGCCCAGUUGGUUUGAGCGUGAUGCUGAUAAUGUCAAGGUUGCGGGUUCGUUCCCCGUAAGGGGCAGCU